rnacentral:rRNA from 1 species
GAUGAACGCUGGCGGCGUGCCUAAUACAUGCAAGUCGAGCGAACAGACGAGGAGCUUGCUCCUCUGACGUUAGCGGCGGACGGGUGAGUAACACGUGGAUAACCUACCUAUAAGACUGGGAUAACUUCGGGAAACCGGAGCUAAUACCGGAUAACAUGUUGAACCGCAUGGUUUAACAGUGAAAGACGGUCUUGCUGUCACUUAUAGAUGGAUCCGCGCCGCAUUAGCUAGUUGGUAAGGUAACGGCUUACCAAGGGAACGAUGCGUAGCCGACCUGAGAGGGUGAUCGGCCACACUGGAACUGAGACACGGUCCAGACUCCUACGGGAGGCAGCAGUAGGGAAUCUUCCGCAAUGGGCGAAAGCCUGACGGAGCAACGCCGCGUGAGUGAAGAAGGUCUUCGGAUCGUAAAACUCUGUUAUUAGGGAAGAACAAAUGUGUAAGUAACUAUGCACGUCUUGACGGUACCUAAUCAGAAAGCCACGGCUAACUACGUG